CAGACACUGAAUUCAUUGAGGAAGGAAGGAACCCAUCCUGAAGGUUGAAAAGUCUAGAAACCUCCACAGCUGCCUUUGAUUCAGUUUCCCGGGGCCAGCUCCAGGUUCACCAAUGCCUACUUUUUGCCUGCAUGCCCACACUGAACUGCAUUUCUCUACCAGCCGGUGAGCUGAUCCAAGAGCAUGAAGGUGUGGAGAACCUACCCUUGAAACCACACAAGAACAAUCCCUGUGCUUCCAGGUAAAAGGCAAUAAAAUAAUAAGGAAAUUACUCAAUGGGUUUUUUGCUUUUAUUUUUGUUUUUGGAUUUUUUUGCCUUCCUGGAUUUCCCGUGCAAGGUAGUUGUUGUUCAUCCUUCAUUUUCAAAGAGGACCAAUGAUAUCACAAUGUGAUGAGUCAUGUCUUCACUUGUCAUGAAUUGGAUUUAAACAAGGCAGAGUUUCACAAAGUUGUCAGCCUCACUCUCUCAGAAUCAUCAAAAUCGAGUGGCAAGACAAAAAUCAAGACAACUACUGAUGGCUUGGGAUGCAGUGGAUGACCUUGGCUUCUUUAAUGUCUAGAUAACCAAGCUCACAGUACCUACUUCAGCCACCUUCAUGGCUGUUGGAACAAAUUGUUUUCA